rnacentral:rRNA from 1 species
CGAUAAGUAAUGUGAAUUGCAGAAUUCAGUGAAUCAUCGAAUCUUUGAACGCACAUUGCGCCCGCCAGUACUCUGGCGGGCAUGCCUGUCCGAGCGUCAUUUCAACCCUCAGCGACCGCCUUGCGGCGGGAGCUGGCGUUGGGGAUCGGCCGUCCCUCAG